AACGAACGCUGGCGGCAGGCCUAACACAUGCAAGUCGAACGCCCCGCAAGGGGAGUGGCAGACGGGUGAGUAACGCGUGGGAACCUUCCCAGUGGUACGGAAUAACUGACCGAAAGGUUGGCUAAUACCGUAUACGCCCGAAAGGGGAAAGAUUUAUCGCCAUUGGAGGGGCCCGCGUCGGAUUAGCUAGUUGGUGAGGUAAUGGCUCACCAAGGCGACGAUCCGUAGCUGGUCUGAGAGGAUGAUCAGCCACACUGGGACUGAGACACGGCCCAGACUCCUACGGGAGGCAGCAGUGGGGAAUAUUGGACAAUGGGCGCAAGCCUGAUCCAGCCAUGCCGCGUGAGUGAUGAAGGUUUUCGGAUUGUAAAACUCUUUCGCCGGGGGAGAUAAUGACGGUACCCGGAGAAGAAGCUCCGGCUAACUUCGUGCCAGCCGCCGCAGUAA
rnacentral:rRNA from 1 species